CAGUAGCCGCGGUAAUACGGAGGGUGCAAGCGUUAAUCGGAAUUACUGGGCGUAAAGCGCACGCAGGCGGUCUGACAAGUCAGAUGUGAAAUCCCCGGGCUUAACCUGGGAACUGCAUUUGAAACUGUCAGGCUGGAGUCUUGUAGAGGGGGGUGGAAUUCCAGGUGUAGCGGUGAAAUGCGUAGAGAUCUGGAGGAAUACCGGUGGCGAAGGCGGCCCCCUGGACAAAGACUGACGCUCAGGUGCGAAAGCGUGGGGAGCAAACAGGAUUAGAUACCCGGGUAGUCCCUGUCUCUUAUAC
rnacentral:rRNA from 1 species